ACUUAAAUUGAAGAGUUUGAUCAUGGCUCAGAUUGAACGCUGGCGGCAGGCCUAACACAUGCAAGUCGAGCGGUAGCACAGAGAGCUUGCUCUCGGGUGACGAGCGGCGGACGGGUGAGUAAUGUCUGGGAAACUGCCUGAUGGAGGGGGAUAACUACUGGAAACGGUAGCUAAUACCGCAUAAYGUCGCAAGACCAAAGUGGGGGACCUUCGGGCCUCAUGCCAUCAGAUGUGCCCAGAUGGGAUUAGCU
rnacentral:rRNA from 1 species